GGUGACACAGUGAAAGAGUGAGGAAGGGGGUGACACAGUGACAGAGUGAGGGAGGGGGUGACUAGUGACAGAGUGAAGGAGGUGGUGACUGUCACUAGUCACCCCAUCCCUCCCUCUGUCACUAAUCACCACCUCCCUCACUCUGUCACUAGUCACCCCUUCCCUCCCUCACUCUGUCACUAGUCACGCCCUCCCUCUCUCUGUCACUAAUCACACCCUCCCUCACUCUGUCACUAGUCACAACC